AGAUUAAGGGUCUCGUCCCGUGUA
rnacentral:siRNA from 1 species